rnacentral:rRNA from 1 species
GACGAACGCUGGCGGCGUGCUUAACACAUGCAAGUCGUACGGUAAGGCCCUUUCGGGGGUCCUCGAGUGGCGAACGGGUGAGUAACACGUGAGUAACCUGCCCACAACUUUGGGAUAACGCUAGGAAACUGGUGCUAAUACUGGAUAUGUGCUCCUGCUGCAUGGUGGGGGUUGGAAAGCUCCGGCGGUUGUGGAUGGACUCGCGGCCUAUCAGCUUGGUGGUGGGGUAGUGGCCUACCAAGGCGGCGACGGGUAGCCGGCCUGAGAGGGUGACCGGCCACAUUGGGACUGAGAGACGGCCCAGACACCUACGGGAGGCAGCAGUGGGGAAUAUUGCACAAUGGGCGCAAGCCUGAUGCAGCAACGCCGCGUGCGGGAUGACGGCCUUCGGGUUGAAAACCGCUUUCAGCAGGGACGAAGCUUUUUGUGACGGUACCUGCAGAAGAAGCACCGGCUAACUACGUG